rnacentral:rRNA from 2 species
UGUGAAUUGCAGAAUCCCGUGAACCAUCGAGUUUUUGAACGCAAGUUGCGCCCGAAGCCAUUCGGCUGAGGGCACGUCUGCCUGGGCGUCACGC